ensembl:lncRNA
GGAGGAGUCGCCAUGUGAUCCUAGCAAGAGAGGACUCAUGCCACCAUUGUCCUUGAUAAGGCGAGUCUUUAAUAAAAGGCAGUGCAAGGCUCAUUUCCACAGAGGGCGCCCUCAGAGGACCUGCCCCCUCGCCCUGAUUCUGCAUUCGGGACACAUCUGAAUAUAAAUCAGGAAAGCCAGCACCAGAAACACCUAUCUAUGAACUUGGUUCCAGUUGAAUCAGAGACUCUGACAAUGGGGUCUGGAGAUCUGACCAAAAAAAGCCAGGGAAUUCGGACUCACUUUAGGCCACAGGGAUGGUGAGGUUCGGUGGACACGCUCCAGUGGGAUUGGUCUACAGAAAGGAUAUCCUGGUCUGGCUUACACACAUCCGUGGAAAUGCAAACCAUUUGUGGCAAGAUGACUGCCAGCAAUGUCUGUUACUAUUACUUACCUUUGGCGAAACAACAUGAAACAGCUUCAGCUUUUGAGUUUUGCUAUCUUAAACCUCAUUUUCUAGGCUUUUGGCAGAAGUUGUUCAUGCACGAAGGGGAAAAUGGUAGUUAAGUUGGGGAUUCUCACCUUGGUCUUGGAGACAUUUAGGCUAGAUGAUUUUUGAUGUAGGAGCUGGCCUGCAUGGUGAAAGUUUACCAGCAUCCCCGGCCUCCACACUGUUCCCAAGCUAGGUCUUGACAAUCGGAAGCCUUUCCAGACACUGCCUGGGACUCUGCAGAGCAAAAGUGUACUUGGCUGGGAAACACUAACCUAAGCCAUGGUAGUUCUAGUCCAUAGUGGCCGCAAAGGAGGAAUGUGGCAGCCAGAGGACAGUGGAGCUCACUAGGGCCCGAGGGCUCACCUAGUAUGAGUGACUGUGCCUCUGUCUCCCCUGCACCAGCAUCACCUACACGGUGAUCAGGGCAGAGAAGAUCAUCAAGAUCAUAUCCAUGUGGACAGCUCCAUGGCCCUGGUGUAUCUGAAGCGUCUUGGGUGAGAUCUUACAAGGUACCUCUGGCGCAGACCACGCCACUUUGGGCGUGGCCACAUGUGGGUGUGGGGCGUGUGGGAUAUAGGCCUGAGGAGAGGGAGGCGAGCUCUG